rnacentral:rRNA from 1 species
GAUGAACGCUGGCGGCGUGCCUAAUACAUGCAAGUCGAGCGAACAGACGAGGAUCUUGCUCCUCUGACGUUAGCGGCGGACGGGUGAGUAACACGUGGAUAACCUACCUAUAAUACUGGUAUAACUUCGGGAAACCGGAGCUAAUACCGUAUAAUAUAUUGAACCGCAUGGUUCAAUAGUGAAAUACGGUUUUGCUGUCACUUAUAGAUGGAUCCGCGCCUCAUUAGCUAGUUGGUAAGUUAACGGCUUACCAAGGCAACGAUGCGUAGCCGACCUGAGAGACGGAUAGGCGACCUUGGAGCGGGACCGGGGACAAGGGUACUACGGGAGGGACCAGACGGGAAUGUUACGCAGCGGGGGAGAGUCUGACGGAGCGGGGGGGAGUGAGUGACGGCGGCGUCGGGUGCGGAAUAACGUGUUUCGAGGGGUGAACCACUGUGUCCGGAAACAAGGCCGGAUUGACGGUAACUAAUAAGAAAGCAACGGCUAACUACGUG